GUAUAGCUUUACAUAUGUGUGUCCUUUUCUCUGAUAUAGUGAGUUUCGAUUUCCUCUGCAUCUGGUUCUUCAAAUAUCUAUAUCUGCUUUGUCAUUUACCUCAGAAUUUCUGUGUGUGUGUGUGUGUUUGCUGGCUAUCUGCUCAUUUUAUUAUUUAACUAACCUUGCAGGUUUUUCGGAGCCCCAAUAGCACAGCGGGUUAAACCACAGAGCUGCUGAACUUGCUGACCAAAAAGUUGCCAGUUCGAAUCCGGGGAAGCGCAGUGAGAAUCCAGGGAACCUAACAGUUCAAAAACAUGCAAAUGUGAGUAGAUCAAUUGGUACUGCUCCAGCGGGAAGGUAAUGGCACUCCAUGUAGUCAUGCCAGCCACAUGACCUUGGAGGAAUCUACGGACAACACUAGCUCUUUGGCUUAGAAAUGGAGAUGUGCACCAACCCGCAAAGUUGGACAUGACUGGACAAUGUCAAGGGAAGACCUUUACCUUUACCUGCAGGUUUUUCAUAUGGAAUAUUUGUUUAAAUAUAUUUUACUUCUUCCCCCUUACUUCAACUCUGUUGGAUAUGUACCCAAACUUGUGGGAACAGUAUAAGGAUAGCUAAAGCUCUAAGUGAACUGAGGUUAGGUAGUUGUAUAUCUCACAAUCAGAGAAAAUUAAAUUUCAAGCAGAAGGUGAACAACUACCUGUCCUACAUCACCACCACCCUGAGCCGGUCCAACAAUGAGGCGAAUUAAGUGGUCGCUUCGGGCGCAAAACAUACGGGGCACAGUCAAGACUGCUUUUUCUGUUGAUUUGUUGUAAAACAUGAUGUUUUUGUGCUUAAUUUCUAAAAUCUUAAUGUAAUUUGAUGUUUAAUAGGCUUUUCUUUAAUCCCUCCUUAUUAUCCAACAUUUUUGCUUAUCCAGCGCUUUUAUUUUUCAGUGAUUGGUUGGGGGGGGGGCGCCAAAACUCUGUUCGCCUACACUUGAAAAAUACCCAUGACCGGCUCUGCCACCACCCAUUCACAAGUUUUAACAGAAAAAUAAAAUAGACUUAGGCCGCAUCUAUACUGACCUUUUAAUGCAAUUGGAAUCUAGCUUCAAACUGUUGCAGCAAGACAACAAAUUCCACAAAAGCAUAUGAAAAAAGCCCUUAAUGUGCAUCAGUGUUCUGUGCCCAAUGUCAUUAUUUUAUGAUACAUUGUAGGUUUGAAGUGAUGGCAAGGUGUCCCUAUAGCAGGAGAAAAGUGGGAUACAAUAAAGUAUAUAAAAUAACAAUAAAUCCCAUUGAUAGUGGUUCUACUCUAGGUGGGAUAAGCAAAACUAUUUUGCCCAAUAGGUUCAUCUGCCAUGCUGAUACUUCCUUCCUCAUGGCUGCUGUCUGAUGCCUUUGUCUUAUCCCCUUCUAUCUACAUGUUAUGUUUGAUGGUCAAGCGUGUAGGCCAGGAAUGGCUAAUGGAAACAUGCACCCAGCAAAGGAAAGGAUUCACAAAGAAGGAGUUGAAAAAGCACAAACAAUUCCAAGGAAGAAAAGCAAUGGGAAACAAGGCAGAGCAAGUCACCUUGUAUAAGGAAAGGAAGGUCAACUGAAGUUUCUGAACCAUUUUCAAAAGGAGCUGCAAUAAUCCAUGUAUGUGUAUUUGUACCUUGUCACCUGUCGACAUAUGGGUUAGAAGAAUUAACACAUUUAAUGGGUGACAGAAAAAGAAGCCGACAUUGACAGUUUGUCCUUUCUUUGCCGACAUACACAUUAACAAACAUAUCAAAAGGAAAGUGCUACUGUAUUCGAAUAAAGCAAAGGCCAUAAAUGCCACAUUUCCUCCAUUCUGGGUGACCUAUAAGCGUCAUUGUGGCAGGUAGUGUUCUCAGCAGCUCCACUUUUCAUGUGCUGUGAACUAGCAAUUAUGCCAAGUGCUCCAAGGCAAAACAGCUUGAGCCAAUUUCAGGGUAAUAAUCUAUUUAUAAAGAUGUAUGCCAUGUAGACCAAGGGAACAAGAGUGUGGGCAAAUGAAUACCCUCACUUGUUUGUAUUAUAUGAUACAGGUGAUUUAAAAGUCAGCGAUAUAUUUUUUUACAGACCACAUAAAACUAGUACAAACUUCAGAGCUAACUCAAGGACAUCUCCACAAACAGCAACAUUUGUAGCCUUUAUCUGUAAUCUUCCCAUUUCUUAGGAAGUACAGUAGAGUCUCACUUAUCCAACAUUCUGGAUUAUCCAACGCAUUUUUGUAGUCAAUGUUCUCAAUAUAUCAUGAUAUUUUGGUGCUAAAUUCGUAAAUACAGUAAUUACUACAUAGCAUUAAUGUGUAAUGAACUACUUUUUCUGUCAAAUUUGUUGUAUAACAUGAUGUUUUGGUGCUUAAUUUGUAAAAUCAUAGCCUAUUUUGAUGUUUAAUAGGCUUUUUCUUAAUCUCUCCUUAUUAUCCAACAUAUUCGCUUAUCCAGCAUUCUGCCAGCCCGUUUAUGUUGGAUAAGUGAGACUCUACUGUAUCACUGAAAUCAAUGGAAGUGGCUUAGAGACAAGUGUAGAGGACUAUAGCUUUAGGGUAUUUUCAUACAUGAAGAAACUGAAUUGUUCCAUCAUUGCUGCUAAUACAUAAUGACUGAGAACAACAUUAACUACUUUUAUAUAGACCUGAGCCAUAAUACUGAAGAGAUUAUAUUUUGCCCUGGCUUGUGUUUCUGUAUUUACAUGUGCUCAUAUACUAUAAUUGUCGUGCUAUGCCAAGUCCCAGUAAACUUAUUAACCCAAUAUUCAAUCAAAGUCUCAAAUCUUACAUAUAAAUAGCCGAGAGCUAAGUCCUUGUGUGCUUUAACAGUAAGCUACAUCAAUUGUUGAAGCUAAUACAACAUUUGAAUUCCAAAUCCAAAUACCAUGGUCACACCAAGGAAGUUCCAGAAUCAACAAAGCUGGUCAGGUUGAAGACAACAAAGUCCAAGGCUGAAAGCAAAAUCCAACUGCAAAGGUCAAGAUACAACCCAGAGUCAACACAGCUGAAUAAUCCAGAGUUUCAUCAUGAAGCAAGACAUUGCCUUCAACAACAGCACUCCAAAUUUCAGAACCUUUUAUUCUGUGAUCUCAGGUGUUGCUUGUGAAAAGCCCAUUUCUCUGCUAAUCACGCAGACCUGUGGUUAGCAGCGUGCUCUUUUCAAAAUUGUAAAAGGGAUAGAGUACUUAACCCUUCCUCAGCCUGCCCUGAUAUACUGGCCUCUACUUGCUCCUCCUGCUAGAAAGCAGUACCUUCUGUUAAUGGCUCUUCUUCUGAAUUGACUAUGGUGGGCUGGGAGGGCUGCUAGAGGCUGUUAGCCUUCAGAUCCAAUACUAGCCCUUCUGACAACCCCUCGUCCUCGCUGUCAGAGCUGUCCAGGACAAUGAGAUACAUUUCCACCAAACAUUGUUUUUCUCUAUUCUACUUCUUCCAUGUUGAACAGCCACAGAAGGGAAGCAAUCAAAGUAGUCUGCCAGUAUCUUGACAAAACUCCCUGUAAAUUGCAGGGAGAGUAGGGAACACCAUAUAUGGCCUACAGAAUUAUAACACUAUUUUGUCAUUUUAUGACAUUGUUCCAUCCUAUGGGAUCCUGGAUUAGCAGUUUAAGAACUAGCAUAUAGAAAUCUCAGCCAAGGAUGUCUAAUGCCUCACCAAACUACAAACCUCAGAAUCUCAUAUGAUGCAGCCAUAGCAGUAAAUGUGGAAUCACAGCAUUAUAAUUAUACAAUGUGAAUAGAAUUCCAGUAAUGCAGUCGCUUUCAGGAAAUGGGUUCCUUUAGUGGUACUACCUACCAUAUUGUACUGUACUGGAGUCUUCAUUAAUACAUGAAGAUCCAUUCUUCUGCCCCAAGAGCACUUUGCUUUCUCAUCUGGCACAGUUCUCUUCCCACAUAGUUGCAUGACAUACACAGCAGUAUAGGAAAUGCUCCUACUGACUGCUGUAAAAUGUUCAAUGCCUUCAAAGAUAGUUCUGAAUUCUUUUGAUAAUGGAGAGAAACCCUUUCCCCUUACAAUUGAGAAACACUGCUGCUGAUAAAAAUAACUAAUAUUGCAAUAGCAUGCAUGAUUCCUUAUAUCCUAAGUGAAAAGGGUGUUCUUAUCAUUAUCAAAAUUAAGGACUUAGAUCAAGUGUAUAAAGAUAUAUCUUUACACUUUACAGAGAGACAGUAUGUACCAGACAGUAUGAAGGCCAGGGAGUUUUGCAGAAGAAACAGAUUUGAACUAGAAAAAUCACUAAAUGCAAAAAGCAAGGAGGAUGCAACUUUAGAGAUGGGAGAGGAAGAGGCCAAGAGACAGGGGCUAGUAGUGAAGGAGGGAAAAACAAAAACAAAAAAGAAAGAAAGAAAAUAAAAUGGUAGUUAAAGUUUUAGAAAUAAAGGAUGUGGAUAAAUUGGCUAUGAUGAAUAUGGAGGAAAUAGAGAAGAACUUUGUUAAGGAAUAGGAACUAUCUUUGAACUUUUUGGGAAGAAGGGAAAACAUUUUGGAAUAAAUUUCUAGAAUAAAAUUAGAAUAAAUGAUAGACUCCAUAAGCUAGCUGGCAUUGCCCCCCUGAUGUGCAAUAGGAAGUUGCUGCCAAUUGCAAGAGAAAUAAGGCUGAACACUGUGAAAGCCACCCACUGUAUGGCUAUCAGCCCCCUUCCAGUAGACUUAAUUUUCCUCCAGCAACAGCCUAUGGGCAGCAAAAUUAGGAAAUCCCAGCUGGAUGGGCCCCCACGAGGGUCUUCCUCCAGGCACAAACCAAGAAUGGGCAACUUGGAAGUUGCUGAACAGACUUAGAAGUGGAAUGGGCAGAUCAAAAGACAACUUGACUAAAUGGCACUACCAAGAAGAAUCCUCCACCUUCUGUGACUGUGGAGAAGAACAAACAACUCAGCAUCUGUAUGCUUGCCCACAAUGCCUGCCUCAUGCACAGAGGAAGAACUGUUUAAAACUACAGGCAAUGCAGUGACUGUUGCCUGUUUUUGGUCUAGAACUAUUUAGCUGUUUUGAUCCCUUUAUUUUAUCAAUUUUAAACUUAAUUAUUUAUGCAAUGCUUUUGACACAAAAUAAAUAAGUAAAUUUUAGAAUAGGCUCCAUAAUUUGGCAUUUGUUAGAAUUUUUGCUUGUAAUUUUUAGAUUAUGAUUCUUGUGCUAGAGGGAAGAAUGGAUGAAUGUUUUACUGGGAAGGAAGGGUAAGGUUGAAUAUGAAUGUCUUCAACUCAACUCAAAGGUCAUUGCAACAGAAGGGGUGAAAGGGAGGAAAUAGGGUAAUAGAGAACAAUUAUUGUAGGCACUGUUCUAAAGUAUAUGUGCUUUAUGUAUAUAUGGGUAGAUUGGUAGAUUUGAGGAGGGGGAGGGAGGGGAAGCAAUCGUACCAAUGAUUUGUAUUUGAUCUUGAUUUAAAAUGUAAUAUUUCCAAAUUUGAUUGUAAUAAAGAAGGUUUUGGGACACAGUAAAAGAUCAACAUCCUCCUCUUUUUCCUCACCAUUAUUUUUAUUUAUAACCAGCUUACAAAUUAAAAUAAUUACAAUAUAUAGCCAAAGUAUUGAAAAUCUAAUAUUAAAAUAAAAUUAUUAUUAUUAGUAGUAAUAAUAAUUGUAUUUCUUACUCGCCUCUCCUUGUGGCUUGAGACAGUUACAGCAUUGCUAAAAACACAUAAUCUAAAAUAUUUUAUAAAAUUCACAUAUUAAAACAUAUUUCUACAAAAUACAUAUUAAAAACACAGAACAAAGAUUAAAACACAGGACACACGUUUAAAAUUCAUCAUUAAAAUUCAUCAUCAAAAAUUAGCAAUAUUGAACUAACUAUUGGAUGAGUGUCUCAGGAUUUUCUGUCCCAAAAUGUCACCUAACCCUAACAUCAUUAACCCUUGAUUACUGAGAAGUGAGCCAACACCCCUACAGCUGUGUUCACUAUAAAAUGGCAGGAAUUUUCUUUUGACAGAGUUGGAAAUUGUGUGUUCCUAAAGAUGUUGCUGAACUGCACUUUUCAGCAAUCCUCACCAUUGGCUAUGUUGGCUAGGAGUCCAACAACAUCUGAAGGUCUGCAUAAUUCUCACCCCUAUGUAAGGAAAUAUAUGGAAAAGUACAACCCUAAUCCACUUCAACAGUUGGGACUAUCUUAUUCAGACUAUCACCAUUAAAGCUACGGACAGUGCGGUUGCUGUUGCCUGCUUUUGGUCUAAAACUAUUUAGUUGUUUGUGAUUUCCUCUAUUUUUUAUCAUUUUUAAAAUGUAUUUGUUAUGCAAUGCUUUUGGCACGAAAUAAAUAAAUAAAUAAAUGUUGAGCAUGUUAUACUUUGGGAAAGUUGCGCCACUAGCUGGAUAGAGCCAUGCUUAUUCCAGAACUCUUUACCCUCUUUGUGCCCUAACUUAGCUCCAAUAAGUCUUCAACAAAAGCUCCACAUAGUCAUCAAAAAUGACAAAAUGCUGCUAAUUAUUCAUCAUUCCUUUCUUUGCUUGUUCCAGCGAAAGCAAAUGCAAAAGGAAUCCUAGAAGGUGUCAUUAAAAAAAUGCUUGGGAAAGUUACGGAAGGAAAAAAUUGAACUAGUGUUGAUGAGGAGGAGACAGUUUAAGGCUGCUUGUUAACAUAUGCUGAAAGCCUCAGUGUGUGCUUGGAGGUCACAUCAUUAAUUAAUAUACAGUCAAAGUGCCAAAACAGAUGAAACUGAGUCAGCUUUGCAUUUCCUAGACUCCAAUGGCCGAUCAGAUUACUGUAAACUGAAUUAAGCCUGUCAGAAUAAUGAAACUGUUUAAUGGAAUGACUUUACCUUGUCAGCUUGAUUUGUGCACAUAAUAGCUAAGCUCAGUCAUUUGGAUCUAAUGCAAAGGAUCUCUCUCCUGCUCCUCUCCUGGGCAUGAAAUAGCACUAAAAGCUGCAAGUGUCCUCACCAUCCUUCAGAAACCCACCAGGAAUGCGUAGAGAUAGUUGUCACCCCUCUCCCUG